UUCUAGUUUGCGCCUACCCGAGGGGAGGAGCCGGAAGAGCCGGUGACCGGGAUGCGGAGGAUCCGAGAGGAUUUUGCACGCUCUUGUCUUAGUUCUGGCAGCGUGCAAGUCCUCAAGGGCGGGUCGGGGUGUACCGACAAUCCUUUCGGCAGUUUUGAUUGUCCGUUGCAGUCGGAGUUUGUCCUUUUUUGUAGCAGCGCCAAACCCGACCGUGAUGGAAGAACACAGGACCGAUUCGAUGAGCGCUGUGUAGAACCGCCUCAGCAGCUCCGGUGGCAGGCCGUGCUUUCUCAGAAGCCGCAGGAAGUACAUCCUCCGCUGGGCCUUUUUGAGGACGGAGUUGAUGUUGGUCCUGAGAGACUGUAAUUCCCAGGAACUUGAAGGUCUCGACAGUUGACAGUUAAAGUUUUUCCAACUUUGCAAUGUUCAUUUCUUUAGUCAGCUGGUUUCUAGCUGGAUUAUACAGGGCCCUGUCCCCGCUCUGAUAUGCGUCCUCCUUAGCUUGGCGAAGCUGCUUAAGUUUGGCAGUGAACCACGACUCGUUGUUGUUGAAUGUGCGAAAUGACUCUGUUGGUACACAGACCUCUUGACAGAAACCGAUAUAGGAUGUGACAGUGUCCGUAUAUUCAUCCAGGCUGCCAGCUGAGUUUUCAAAGACAAGAGGUGAUUUUCCAUCAUAUGUUCCCUUGAAAUAACACACAGAAUGUGUCCACCUCAUCACAUGUGCCACUACAAAUAUCAAAUUCCCGCUAUGAAAUCUUGCGUUUUGCAGGGCUCUGAAUGUUUGUGAGGUUAUGAAUGGGUGGAAUGUGGCUGAGAAGCACAUUCAAAAAGGGCUUAAGUGGAUUACACCUCAUUUCAAGGAUGCUUAUGGUAAGAUGAAAAAAGAUAUGGGGUAACUGAGGAAAAUGCUAAAUCUGAUAGAUUGAAUUUGAGUCAUCCUUUUCCCUCUGCCCUGAAAACCACUUGCCUGUGUAUGGUUGUGUGUGUGCAUCUUUUGUUUUUUUGUUUUUUGUGAGUGGAAAGUAAACAUCCGCAACCACUGGAGGUCUUUAUCAUAUGUGUGAGACAAAAAUACACAAAACUCCGCAUCCAGCUGAUUUUGGGGCAGAGGUGAGAUACAGAAUACACAAUAAUAGUAUUGUGUACCAGCGUACCGGGGUUGCCAGCCUAUCGCAGGACAAAGCAACCAUUCACACUCACUUUCACAAGUCUGGACAAUUUGGAGUCUUCGAUGAGCCUAACAUUUUGGGAAUGUUAGAGGAAGCCGCAGUAGGCUACCUGGAGAAAACCCACGCAAGAAUUGGAAGAACAUCCCAACGCCACAUGGGAGGGCCUAACGAGACGAGAUUUGAACCCAGUACAUGUCAUGGACUGCCCCGCAGUACUGUUUCGGAGCCCGCUUGGCAGCUUUGCGCCUUCUGGUCCUCUCUCUCUCCCCUCCCCUCUCCGUUUCAGCUUCUCCAAGCCACGCACCUGUCUCCAAUCAACCCUCAUCACCUCCUGCCUGCCUAUAAGCCUGCCUGUUCCCGGAAAUCCUCGCCAAAGCAUUGCAGCCUCUCCUAGCGGUACCACGGCCCACCGUACUCACGUAAGCUACUCGACUCCUCGUUCCCGGCGUUCCUGACCCACGUCAUUCCUGCCAGCCCCCUGUUCUGAUCAUUUUACAUCAGCCUCCGCCUGCUCUUUGGUUCAGCUACUUCCCACAGUACAGGAGAGCUGAUCACCGCUGCCUGUGAGCUGGGUGUGGCCCAUCCUCCCGGAUACCCGCUCUUCACGCUACUGUCUCGCCUGACAAUGUGUCUUCUGCCCACACUCUCACCAGCCCACAGUGUCAACCUCAUGAGCAGCCUGCUGGGGGCAGUGGCGUGUGGCACGCUCUGCAUGACUGUAUGCAGAUUGGUAGGUCCUGGUCCUGGAGCAGCACUGGCUGGAGGGGUCUUUGCCGUAUCCAGGCUGAGUUGGCAAUGGUCAAUGGUUGCGGAGGUUUUCACCCUCAACAACCUAUUCACUGGGCUGCUCUUCCUUUCUACUGCCAGCUUUCACUUGGCUAAGAAUGUAACUGAGAGGCGAAAGCUUUCACAAUGGGGGGCGCUUUGCUGCGGGCUGGGGCUCUGCAACCAGCAUACCCUGGUGCUGUAUGUACUUGCAGUCAUCCCGUGGGUCUUCCAUAGACUCCACUCACACAGGGAGCUGUCUCUGCGUAGCUUCAUGUCCAUGGGAAUAUGCUUCCUGCUGGGUUUUAUGCCCUACAUCUUCCUGCCUUUCUCCUCCUUCGUGAACUCAGCCCGUUGGAGCUGGGGGGACCAGACCACCAUGUCAGGCCUGCUAACCCACCUGCUCAGGGCUGAAUAUGGCACUUUCAGUCUGGCAAAGACGGAGAGCUCUGUGAACCUGACUGCAUUGCUUAAGGCCCAAUUGGACCACCUCCUGGCAGACCUUUCUCUUCCUAUUGUAGCUCUGGCGGGAUUAGGGCUGCUUCUCUCCUCAACGGAUAGAAUGUAUCGUUCUGUGUCCUGGCUAUUGACGUUCAUGCUGCUUAUAUACUCGUUUUUCUUUGCUUGGAGGGCUAACUUGGACAUCAGUAGACCUUUAAUGCUAGGAGUGGAAUCACUGCUCCAGGUUGAGCGCUUUUGGAUCCAAGGGGAUGCUGUUGUGUGUGUACUGGCUGGCCUUGGCUCCAGCCUGACCCUUAGCGGGCUGGAACGGAGUCUAGGCUACGGCGGGUUUUGGAAGACCACCGCCUGGGUCCUCACCACUGUUCUACUGGCACACAUGGUGCACACUAAUCACAGGGAAUGUGAUCAGAGCGGCAACAGCGUGGUGGAACGGUUCGGGAGGGAGCUUUUAGCGUCCUUCCCAGCAGACUCCAUCGUCCUGACCAGAGGAGAUCUGCCGGGAAACUCCCUCCGCUACCUGCAUUACUGUCUCGAUGUACGGCCCGAUGUGCGCCUGGUCGACCAGGAGAUGAUGACAUACAGUUGGUAUGUGGGAAAGCUGGGGCCUCACCUCCGUGGUGUGCACUUUCCCGGUCGCCAGUGGGACCCGGUCCACUCCAAGGAGAGAGACACCUUCAGUUUAGAGCGGUUUCUGAUCCACAACUCCCAGAGGGACGUGCUAGCCUGUAUUGGGCUGCCUGAUGGAGACCCAAGCUGGGGACGUAGCUUCUCCCGCUGGCCCUUUGGUGUGUGUGACUUCUUGGUGCCUGCUCGGAGGCAGUUUCACCCCAAAGAGUGGGCGAAACGCACAUACAACCUUUACAACUGGAGCGAGCCACACAAUCGUUUCCACUCUGCAUCGUGGGAGCGUGUGGCUAAUGAGGAGAUGUGGCAAGCCAGGAUGAAGAUGGCUUUCUUUCUAUUUGACCUGGCAGAGAGGAUGCAGGGAGAGGGCAAAUCGGACCUCUUUGAGCUCUCUUACACUCUGUAUAAAGCGCUUGUGGAGUCUUACUCCUCCUACCCUCCCAACUGGGACAAGAACCUGGCGCUGGCCUGCGAGAGGCUGGUCCGCUCGGGUCAUCGAGGCCACGGUCUAGACGGCCUGCUGACCUGCAGCAUCCAGCAUUUUAGCCUCUACUUGGACAAGGAACCCGCAGAUCCGCAGGCGCCCGCCAUACGCUCAGCUGUUGCCCACCUGUUGAAAGAGAGAGACCGGCACCGGCAGAGCCUUAAGAAGACCACCUGACAGGUCCUGACACCCGCAAGGGGCCCGCGGGCCUGGCGGGAUGGGAUGGGGCACUUCUCCCUGGGCAAGAAGAUGGAGCGGCUGCCCCUGCUGCUGGAGCUCCACGGAGAACAGAGUCAGGAUGGGCGAUGGAUUCACUCUCUGGCUCGUUCCCUCUCUCUCUCUCUCUCUCUCUCUCCUCUAUGCCGGCCUCGCUAUGGAUGUGCGGGCGCGCUGCUUGCAGAUGUGCACAAACAAGGGGGGAUUAAAGCAAAACGAAUCUAAACAGACAAAUGGAAUUAGAGUGAUGGGUGUCACUGGGCUGGUUCACAGUGAUAAACAAUAUGAUGCCCUGUGUGAGUGUGUGUCUGGGGGAUUAUCAGUGGUUAGGUGUGUGUGUGUGUGUGUGUGUGCGGCGUGUACGGCUGCUUCUGUGUGUUUGCCUAGCUGUCUAUAUUUUUGUAAUUAUGCGUGUGUAUAUUUGUUUUAUCACGUAUGUGCUUGGUAAUGUGUUAUUCCAUAUGAAUGCUGCAUGAUUGUGCUGCGCUUUUCUAUUUCCUUCUUGUGUUUACAUUUUGCCUCCACCUAGAAGGUUAUGCUUUUAUUGCCAUUUGUUUGUUUGUUUGUUUGUUUGUUUGUGAGCAGGAUUAAACAAAAACGAUGUAACUGAUUUCUCCCAAACUUUGUGGAGAGGUAGGUCACAGGCCACGACAGAGCUCAUAGAAUUUUGGUGAGCAUCUGGAAACAAGCGCAGAUCCUUUUUUUUGGGUUUGUUUUUAACGUUUCAAGGCCCUUUUCCCCUGACAUUUUUCUCAAUUUCGCAGUCGAUAAUGCUCGAAUCUUAAUAGCAAAAUGUUUCCACAUGCUGUUGUUGGUGAGUAUAAAUGCAUAUUUCUGUUUUGUUAUUGUUUGGGGUCAUUUUACAAAAUGUUUUCAUUUUCUUUUAUUUUGCCCAAACACAUACAAAUAGUAACUCCAGAGAAACUCAUUAUUUUUGCUGUGGUCUCCAAUGUUUUUCCUGAGCGGUAUAUCCAAACUUUAGCCUUCAGCGUACAGUAUAAAUGGAGUACCCCCCCCCCCCCCCCCCCCCCAAAAAAAAUUUUGUUUUGCAACAACCACUGCCUGUCAGUGUCAGGGCACAAGUUCAUGUGUGAACAUAUUUUCUUGUGGCAGGCCUUUGUGUUUAUUUGCUGAGGAGGUCAAGUGAUCGGAGGAGCCAGCAGGGGGGCUAGUGAUGGACAAUCUGCGGAACCCCUGCCGAGGGCCUCUGAGCUUAGUGAUAAGCCCUCCCUCGCCAGAUGGGCACAGCAUACCCCCAACAUUGCACAUCGCACAUCAGCACCAGCACCCUUUUGGUGCACCAGCACUCACCCCGCUGCCCCCAGCUCCCUCUUGGGGGAAAUAAGGCGACUGUAAUCCCCAUUUCCUCCACUGACUUGGAGGUCAUUUAGUGACACCAAAAUCCAAAGUCAUUUGAUUAAAACAUACGUUUCUAAUGUUCUAUCUCGACAGGACCACACGGGAAGGACGUAUGAUGAGGAAGGAAGGAACUCUUCACAGUGUCAGCGAGCGGACUGUGGGGCCAGUUAGCACGUCGGAGGCCAUCACAAUUCCAAUGUGCGGGCUGUUUGGAUGCACUGCUAUUUCAGAGCCAAAGGGAACACUGAAACUAACUGCAAAGAAGCACUUUCCUGUAAUCCCCUAAUCAGGCAUUACACCUCUGAGCGAAGCCACAACGCAGGCGCGCGGUGCGUGUGACGCAGCACGCCCACAGAGUGUAAUACGCCCUCGUCUCCCCUACGACGUCCCCGCGUGGCCGGCCGAGCGCCUGCUCGCCUCACGGCCGUCAUCCUCUCGAUGACCGAGACCGGACGCUGGCCCGCUCGGAGAGUGCAAUGUGGAGAUCGGCAGGGAUUAACCUGAGGAAUUUAAUUAGUGCUCCUUUUGCAUAACAUUUCAAUCAACCCGGGCGCGGUUGUGCUGGAGCCGGACACGUGAUGGCCAACAGCUGGGGAGCGAGGGGGCGAGAGAGGGUGGACCGUGCAGAGUACGAGUGAAAGAUGGCAACCAAUGAGUCUGGGUCGACUCGGAAUGGCUCUCGGGGCCUCGCGGGUGCUGACUUUGACCUUCUGAGCAUCGCCUUUGCUUCUAUUGGGAUUGUCAAUACGCCGAAUGACUUCCGUGACCGUUUGCCUCUUCGGAGGACCGAACGUGCCUGUCAGGAUUCAUCCGUCGCGUUCCAUUGCGGCGCUGCCCCGUUCCUCUUUUGAGACGCUUUGCGAGCUGCUGGCGACGCGUUGGAGGCGAGUUGGCGCCGUUCGCCGUGAAGUCAUUCGACUUGUAAGAGUUAGUCGUGAUCAAAGUGUGUCGGAGGCCAUGAAGCGUGGCAAAAUGAUCAAAUGUCAGCAGCCAGAUGUGCAACGUCAAAGCACUGCUUUUGCAGUGGAUCAGGGCUCACCAACGUGCAUGCUGCCGUCGGACCGAGGGCCUGUUCUCAAAAGAGUUCACCACUGACUGGACUUUGGGAUUUCAUUUGAUCAUUGGAAAAGGUGAAAGCCGUUUCCAUUGCGUUAUGGACCACGUGGAAUGGGACCGGAAUGGGACCGGAAUGGGACCGACCUGUUGCUCGGCGGAAAUGUUGCCAUUCGAAUCUUUUGUGGGAUUCCUAAUCUUCUCGAUUUGGGCCAACUAUUUGAAUCGAGGGGAAAAGACAAAGCGGCAAAUUGGGGCCUCGGUGUUGAUCAGGUUUGAAACACAUUUUAAACCGAUUCCGUAUUUUUUCAAAUGGAGCUCAACAAAAAAAAAACCCAAAUGACAUUUGAUAUUAUUCGAUUUGUAUUUCUCUUCCCUCGUCAUGUGCUUAGCAGUCUGGACUUUGCUUGUAAAUGUAUUUGACAUCACCACAUUCCAACAAUAAUUCUGUCGUUAUUCAUACGCCAUACAACCCAAAUGAUGAAUUAGGUUUGCGCGCGCUCACGCACAAACACACAAACACACAAACACACACGCACACAGACAAAGAUUGUCUAUUAAGUGAACGCUGAAGGGACCUUAUGUUUGUUUAUUAUUAUUCUUCUUCAUGUCUUUCCAGCGGGGAGGCCACAGCAUAUUUGGAGGCUGCGCCGGACCCGCAAUCGUCUUGAGAUCGACGAGCCUUUUAGCGCAUCCAUGUCCGCGCACAGCAAGCAUCCUCGUCGUUGCGGAACAAAGAAGCAUAAUUAAAGGAGGUUCUGAGUCCGGGGUUCGAGUUCCGUGGCCUUGCGGGUGUAACUUGUCCUCAACAGGGCAAAUGAUCGACUACAAUCCUGCUCCUCAUUUCUAUGAGCAGCCCAAACGAAUCCUUAGCGAGUGGAAAAAAACAAAACCAAAAAAAAAAAGUGAACCCACCUUGCCCCUGGACGAGUGCAAACGUCUUUUGUGUGUCCUCUUGCGCGAGUGACGAAAAUCAACUGAGAGCAAAGACGUCCUGCAGGUCAAUAUCGAAAAAGAUGCCACAGAAGAAAACAAAAACAAAAAGAAGACGAGGAAAAAACACCAAGGCGAAAAAGAAAAAGAAAAAGAAAAAGAAGCAGAAUCCGCAGUGUCAGGACACAAAGUUCAGCGUGGAGCGUCUGUGUUCGGUUUUGAAGCAGUGCUGCAGCAGCGAAAUGAUGAGGAGGAGGAGGAUGAGGAUGAGGAUGAGGAUGAGGAUGAUGAUGAUGAUGGAGGAGGAGGAAGAGGAGGAGGAGGAGGAGGCAGCAUAGGAUUUGUUGGUGUGUUAGGAGUGAAGUGCUUGGAGUUGGAAUUUGUACAGCGAGGCAGCCAAUAGGAGCUCUGCUCCCCCCUUACCCCCCCCCCCAGCGCCCCCCCCCCCCCCCAUACUUUUUUGGAACCACUGUCCUCAUCCAAUGGCCCCGCGAGAGAGUCUUCCACUUAGGCUUUAACAAGUGGAGUGGAGUUUAAACUAAAAAAAAAUAAAAUAAUCGUUCCCCCCCCCCCCAUAGCUAGAUGUGCAAUAUAUCCAAAAAUAUCACAUUAGCAAAUUCCCAUAUUAGGCCAUUCAUACACAUAUCACAGUAGGUCACUCUGCAUUUAGUACAAGUCGUUUUUCCAAAGUGUAAAGUGAGUCACAGAAUCACCCUGCGUCACGCAAUCAUCCAAUACAUCAGUCAAACUCAAUGAAUGUCCCUCAAUAUGGAGAGAAAGAGUUCCAAAAAAGGAGAGGGACGCCUUCCUCUCACAUUCCCGCGACGCCAAAAAAAAAAAAAAAAGAGGAUUUAGGGACUUAUUUCUUUCCCCAAAAAAAGUGUCCUCUCAUCCGCAGAGCAGCCAGUGUGUCACGACACUGCAGGCCUGCGCCCGUGGAGGAAGAGGAGGAUGAAGAUGUUCAAUCGACGAGAUUUCCACGCAGAGGCGAAGGAAGAGCUUUGCGGUUGUUGUGGUCGCCCAAAGUUGGAUUUCUUGGGUUUUUCUUUUUCUUCUGGAGGAAAGCAGGAGUUUGCCGACAAACAAACGGAUGCAAUUAAAUUCGCUGCCAUCAUCACAGAGGAGGCAAGGGGGGGGAGAAGGAUGCACAUGCACAAGUCAAGGUUGGCUGAAGGGGAAAAGGUCAACUCACAAAGACGCCCAAGCCAACUCAAAGUUGGCUCUUAUUUUAAGCGAGGUGUGUGUUACGCUGCGAAAGGCCAACGCUUACCGAGUGAAUUUUGUUGAUUUCUCGUGGAAACGUCUUCUUAUUUUAAGACAAUCUUGAUGGUUUUCUAAAUUUUCGGAAAUACAAAAAGACGUUAAGAUUCAAGAUCAUAUUUUGAGAAUCUUAUCAAGGCAAUUCAUAUAAGUUCAAUUGGCAGAUUUCCCACCCACUUAUUUUAGAGACCAAACGGCUUGUUUUUAAUAUUGUUUUACUUGUUUUGAGAAAGUCAUUUUUUCCAGUGUAUGGACGAACCGCUGAUUUUUUUUCAGACCAAGUACGAGUACAAGUACCUACAUUUGAGUACUAGCCAAUACCAAGUACUGUACUAUGCCAUCAUGUCUUGUGAAAAUGUGUUUCAUUUGAAUGAAAUAUUGUUCAAAACAGCCAUUUUUAUUCAACGUGCUUUAAAUUCCCCUCAAAUACUUGCUUAAUUAUCAGAGGUGGAACCAAGUCAAUGCUUUGCAAGUCACAAGUCAGUCUCAAGUCGCAAGCCCUCAAUUCCCGAGUCAAGUCGCAAGUCCCACACUUUGACUUUUGAGUCCUUUCGAGUCAUUUUACCGACAAAAUAAUAUAUAAAAUAUAUUAUAUACUGAAUUUAUAUUUUGUAUUUAUCAAAACCAAUUUGAUAAACAAGUGCAUUGAACCUUAAUAAGAAAACUCAAAAGUUUAUUGCCCCUUCAAAACUGAUCGAUAGCACGUUUUCAGUUAUUCUAUUGUAUUUUUUCCUCACUUUAUUUCAUCCAGUAGUGCUGCAAUUUCUAUCGGAAUCAUCAAUUAUAAGGAUAAAAUAUUUUUUUUCUUGGUGAAAGAGCAAUUAUGAAUACGCAAAAGAAAAUGAAACAUUUCACUUAAUAAUGAACGACCAAUUAGUUUCCCUCUUUUAGUUAAUCAACAGUAUUUUUCUUAAAUUCACAUUCACAUCUUCAAACACAAAUAUAGAUUGAUUUCAGUUUCAAUUCGGCAUUUCUUGUGAGUAUCAAACACAAAGCAUUCAUUGAACAAAAAGAUGAACACAAGUUUGUCAUCUUGUUAUAAAGGUACAAUUUUAUCCAACUGUGGUAUCUCAGUCGGAACACUAGGGGACACUACGUACAAAUAUUACGUCCAAAAGAAGCAAAGAAAAGGGCACGAAGAAGAAUGUAGUUUCUUAUUGAAUCGACGCUAGCUGUGUGCUGGUCGAUUGGUAAAUAAAGUGAAUCAUGAAAAAAAUAGUACAAGAGCGAUUCUCGAGAACACUACACUGACUAAAGCAGACUGUAAUGUACAGGAAGCCCAGACAGCGCACAGCCCGCCAUGUAACUAUUUGUGUGAUCGCUCACAAAGCUAGCUGCUAAUGCUAACGAAAACAAGCAUACGUGACGUCAUGCUGUAAGAGUCCCACAAUGCAAUGUGUAUUUUUCUUUUGUUUGCCAUAAUUUACCUCCUUAUUGUUACAUUAAAUGUCGUUGUCGUUUCUGUAUACUAUGUUAACAGUGGUUCUUGGAACCUUUUCUAGCUGUCACAUUUAUUGUUGGCUUAUGUUUGACUGUUUUUUGUUGUCACUGAUGCUGUAGCGGUACACUUGCCGGACUUUGGUGCCGGCAGUGUGGGUUCAGUUCCGACUCAGUGACGGUGUGAAUGGUUGUCUGUGUCUAUAUGGGCCCUGCGACCAGUUCAGGGUGUAGUAUGCCUUUCGCCCAAAGUCAGCUGGGAUAGGCUCCUGUGACCCUGAACAGGAUAAGCGGUGUUUAGAACGGAUGUAUGGUUUUUUAUUUAUAUAUAUAUUUUUUUUAAGGAAACCAUGACUUUAAGUAGUGUGUGGAAAAAAAUGACCUCUUGGUCAAUUUUCUACCACAGCGUGCCCAACAGAGUUUUAACUUUUAAAAGAUAAAUGAAUCACACAUUAAUAAUGAUGACGUCUGGGACACGUCACCCUAAUAGAUAAUCAUUAAGAUCUUCAGCAUCAUGUUGUCACUUAUCAUAUUUUACUGUAGUAAAACAGUAAGUUGCACAUAUAGCCAUAAAACGAGAAGGCUACAAAGUGUUGGUUUCUCAGUGCUUCCAUCAAAGUAACAAGUCUUUUCAAGUCAAUGGGUUCAAGUCACGAGUCAUUUCUGUUCAAGUCCAAGUCGAGUUGCAAAUCUUUUAGCGUAUUGUUAAGUCUUAUUGUUGAGUCUAAAGUCAUCAAAUUCACAACUUGAGUCUGACUCGAGUCCAAAUCAUGUGACUUGAGUCCACACCGCUGUUUAUUAUUAUUAUUAUUAUUAUUAUUAUACUGUUUUGUAUUUGUUCAUCUUUAUUAUGUAAAGCACUUUGUUAAAGCUGUUUUUUUUUUUUUUUUUUCUUAAAGUGUCCUCUAAAUAAUGUCUAGUCGAGUUUUUUUCUGUUCUUAUACAUAUUUGCAUGGGAUGUACAAUAAAUGUGCUGCUUCUGUUGUGCACACUCUGGCCUGCAGGUUGGCAGCGUGGUGCACUCAUACAUAUAGCGUACAUACAUUUGAUGAAAAGACUCAAAAAGGAGAUUAGUAAUUGAGCUUCACUAACAUUACUUGUUUGCCUUUGAACAUUGUGAAAUCAUAUUUCUGUAUAUGUUGCUGCGUCGUUUGUGUGCACAUAUUUGUUAUUUCAAAGUUUACACUGCGACAAUGAUGCUAUCCAUUAGCCAGUCGACGGUGUUUUGCAUUAUGUGUUAGCAUUAAGCUAGAGGAGACGGAACUAUGCAUUUGUAAGAUGGCGUAUGUGUUUGCCUAAUUAUAUAACGUGUAAUUCUCUUUAUUGUUUGUUUAGUUUUACAGUAAACUUCAACUGGAGUGUCAAUAAACAGCUUGACGCAAGCAAAUGUGGA